rnacentral:rRNA from 1 species
GUCUAUGGCCAUGCUACCCUGAACAAGCCCAAUCCUGUCUGAUCUUGGAAGCUAAGCGGGUAAGGCCUGGUUAGCUUACUUGAAUGGGAGACUACCUAGGAAGACCUAGGAAGAUCAGGUGCUAUUGGCA